UCCUUGCUAGUUGUAUAUAACAAAAAUGGCCGAUGCCCUUGUACCACUUGUAUGUUCUAUGAUCAAGAUUUGGUGAAAUUCUUCUGGUGCAGGUUCUUGCAAAUAAUGCUGCAAAAGAUUCCAGCGACUUGGUAUCUAAACUACGUUCAUGUCACUACCUUGCACAAACCAAAGCUGAUAAGAAGCAUCUAUCAAGGAUGAAUUUCAUCUGGUGCAGGUUCUUGCAAAUAAUGCUGCAAAAGAUUCCAGCGACUUGGUAUCUAAACUACGAUCAUGUCACUACCUUGCACAAACCAAAGCUGACAAGAAGCAUCUAUCAAGGUAUUCUUUGGGAUCUGUAUAUCUUCGUGUCGUUUGGUCAAGGCUUCAACAAGUUGAUGCACUACUUUUCAAGUAUGCUUUUCAUGUUACUAGGAUUUCAAGUUUUUAGUUUCAUAUAAGAAUCUGGUUGUUGGGUUUGUUUGGAGAUCCUUGUGUCACAAUUCUUAACAUUCUCGAGGAGUUCCUUGAGCAAAUUG
rnacentral:lncRNA from 1 species